rnacentral:rRNA from 1 species
AGAGUUUGAUCCUGGCUCAGAACGAACGCUGGCGGCGCGUCUUAAGCAUGCAAGUCGAACGGCAAGGCAGGUGCUUGCACCUGCCCUAGAGUGGCGGACUGGUGAGUAACACGUGGGUGACAUGCCUUUUAGUUGGGGAUAGCUACUAGAAAUAGUAGAUAAUACCGAAUGUGAUCAAUAUUUAUAGAUGAUGUUGAGGAAAGGAGCUAAGGCUUCGCUAAAAGAUUGGCCCGCGGCCCAUUAGCUAGUUGGUAGGGUAAAGGCUUACCAAGGCGAUGAUGGGUAUCCGGCCUGAGAGGGUGAUCGGACACAUUGGGACUGAGAUACGGCCCAGACUCCUACGGGAGGCAGCAGCUAAGAAUAUUCCACAAUGGACGAAAGUCUGAUGGAGCGACGCCGCGUGGAUGAUGAAGGCCGAAAGGUUGUAAAAUCCUUUUACACUGGAGGAAUAAGCAGAGUAGGGAAUGACUCUGUGAUGACUGUACAGUUUGAAUAAGCAACGGCUAAUUACGUGCCAGCAGCCGCGGUAACACGUAAGUUGCGAGCGUUGUUCGGAAUUAUUGGGCGUAAAGGGCAUGUAGGCGGAUUUGCAAGCUUGAUGUGAAAUCCCGCAGCUUAACUGCGGAACUGCAUUGAGAACUGCAAGACUAGAGUUACUGAGGGGAAACUAGAAUUCCAAGUGUAGGGGUGAAAUCUGUAGAUAUUUGGAAGAAUACCAAUGGCGAAGGCAAGUUUCUGGCAGAUAACUGACGCUGAGGUGCGAAGGUGCGGGGAGCAAACAGGAUUAGAUACCCUGGUAGUCCGCACAGUAAACGAUGUACACUAGGUGUUUGACCAUGAGGUUGAGUGCCAUAGCUAACGCAAUAAGUGUACCGCCUGGGAAGUAUGCCCGCAAGGGUGAAACUCAAAGGAAUUGACGGGGGCCCGCACAAGCGGUGGAGCAU